rnacentral:lncRNA from 1 species
CCUCGUUUCUCAGUGCCAUGUCACUCUCAGUUAUCCCAGAUCUACUACUAGAACUUAAUGGUUUGUCUAUAUGUUUCGCUGCGCACUGCUAUGUUUAAAUCAUGUAUCAAAUUGCACUUUUAUGCUUCUGGGUUUAUCUCAACAUUCUGCAUUUACUAUCACGCUUCUACAGUUUUACUUACCUAAGUAUCUAUAUUACUGAUAGACCUUAACUUGGGAUUUAUUUCCAUGCCACUCAAAAUUUCUCUAGGCCCAGCUUGCAGGCACUGUCAACCUGAUGGAUGGUGAUGAUUUAAUAGUCAAGGGGCUUCCACAGGUAAAGACUAAAUGCAUGGAUCACAUGUGAGCCAAUUUCUAAAAUCGUUUUGUAGUAUCCUUUCUGCUUGGUAAAUGUUAGUCAGCAGAUGCCUUGCUAGCCUUGCAUAAAAAUGUCAUCUUGUGAUUAUUUUGUGUUAGUCCUUCUGGCUUGCUGAAUGUAAAUCUCGGUGAUGUGUUGUCGCUAUAUAUAUUCUCCUUCAAAAUUGCAAAUACCCUGUUUGUCAUCACCACUCUCUUUGCAACAUAUAUAGUUCACUUUACCAAAAGUUUGUAUCCUGCUCAAGAUUUAAAAAAUAGAUAUGCUCAAUUUCUUCAACACAUGCUAUGAUUUUUCGUUCUUUAUUUUCCAGAAUUAAUCACCCUUAUCAAUGCAUUACUGUAUGUUGAGCAUGAUGCGAUCCAAAAAACAAAUAGAUAUUUUCUUUCAGGAUAUAGAGCACACUGGCCUAGCCUGGACAUAAAGCAUCAAAAUAUAGCAUAAUAACUCAGUGUUAGCUCGCUUGUAUAUUGUUGGAUAAAUAUGAUCAAUGAGCUCAGGAGUGCUAUAUUUAUCUGGUGUUGCGUACUAAAGUGUCACAUGUAGACAUGCCUUUGAAUGUUCACAUCUAAUUGCUUUCUCAUCCCCAACAUCCAGGAUGCGUAGAUAGAGAUGACAUUGCUCAAAGGAAAGAUACCGUACAUGGCCGUGUUGAAGGAGUUGUGGCCUCUUGUCUCUGCCUCAAAUGUCGAUGAUGCCUCUAUGUACUAUCACUCCUAUGCCCUUUUUAUUUUGUUUGUUCAGUGAAUGUUGGAAUAAACGAUUUAUUCAGCUGGAUCUAUACAACUAUGAACUAUUUGUGCAAUCUUUUAUUUAAGCUUUGAAAUGAGGGAAUUAAAUGUUGGGUUUGGGCAAUGUCCUUCCAUGUUUUUUGUUGGUGUUCGAUUAUUGGUAUGAAUCUCCUUGCCGCACUACAGGCUAUCAUGACAUGAAGCCUUAAUCUACUACCAUUUAUGUAUUGUGAACGGGUGCAUAGGCCCUUGCUCUCGAGUGAUCGGUUUUUGCAAUGUCUAUUGCUUGCAUAUCAUGACAGCUCUUCCCUGAAUGAAUACCAUCUCAACAUGACCUUUUUCGUAAUUUACAUUUUUUCUAUACUUGAAAUGCUUCAAUGUUGUAUAAUCGGAUUGGAUACAACUA